rnacentral:rRNA from 1 species
GACAGAGGAUGCAAGCGUUAUCCGGAAUGAUUGGGCGUAAAGCGCGCGUAGGCGGCCAGAUAAGUCCGGUGUGAAAGUCACAGGCUCAACCUGUGAAUGCCGCUGGAAACUGUCUGGCUAGAGUCCGGAAGGGGCGAGUGGAAUUCCUGGUGUAGCGGUGAAAUGCGCAGAUAUCAGGAAGAACACCCGUGGCUAAGGCGGCUCUCUAGUACGGUACUGACGCUGAGACGCGAAAGCGUGGGGAGCGAACAGG